GUCCCCGCCUCGCCUGAGUUCAGUCCAUGGCGGGAGCUCACCGCCACCCGCGUCCCCCUGCACAGGGGCAGCGAUGCGGUGCGGCGCGAGAGACUCACUGGUCACAACUCCUUAAAGAUGCAAAUUGAGAAGCAGCCAUCAUAGCAAGAGACUUCUGUUAAUUCUCAUCUGAGUAUGCAGAUUUCAGUGCUGACUUUUGCUAGGCUUAUUUGUUUUAUUUAGCAAUAAAUUUAAUACAGGCUCCCUGAAGCAAAGAGACAGAUGGACUAUAAACUUUGAAUUUUGAGUAGCUUUACAUCCUUAGCCCCCCCAGCCCCCUGUGGCCAUGCACCUUCGCACCGGAAUAACGAGUGGCCACUUAAUGAGCCACCUUCUAAUUUUUUGCAUGGGUUACGUGAAAGUAUGCUAAAUACCACCUAAAUGGUGCAUACCCUGGCUGCUGGAGUUAUUCCAGAGACUCACAGAAGGACCCGAGAAAACCAAAGCACCACGUGUUUCCUCUGGGUCCAAGUGGGAAACCCCCGGGCUGAAAUAAAAUGAUGCGCUUGGAGAA